rnacentral:tRNA from 1 species
AGCGAGGUAGGGUAGUCAGGAGUGCCCGCCGGGCUCAUAACCCGGAGAUCGCUGGUUCAAAUCCAGUCCUCGCUA